CCGAACGUCCGGGAACAGGACGCAAAACAAGCCAUGCGUAUUAGUUCGCGCGGCAGGUACUCCCGUACUUGCCUGCUCCCUCUUUUCCCUCUCUCUCUCUUUCGUCGCUCAGGUGCUAGGCGGUCGACGCUUGUCGGCUCCGGGCCCCUGAAGGGAUGACUCCUCUUUUUGCCGCAGGUGAAUAGCUUUCGGGAUGCAACGGUGCGGGCUCUAGGAGUCCGGAUCGGAGUGGCUCGGAGGAAGGAAGCCUGCGGGGGGGGUUGUCUCAGACACAGCAGCAGCAGAACCCCGCGAAACCACAAUCGUUAUGCGAUGUCGGGCGAGUUGCGUCUCGCCGAGCUCUUCGUGAGCUCGAAACAAAGCGCCACCCACAAACCACACUAAACUCUGAAUCUGAACUCAAAAGGAGGCGCGGCGCAUCCUUGCGUAGCGCCUUCUCAACCUUUAACGUU
rnacentral:misc_RNA from 1 species